rnacentral:rRNA from 1 species
CUACGGGGGGCAGCAGUGGGGAAUAUUGGACAAUGGGGGAAACCCUGAUCCAGCAAUGCCGCGUGUGUGAAGAAGGCCUGCGGGCUGUAAAGCACUUUCGGUUGGGAGGACUGCUUCUAGCACUAAUAUUGUUGGAAGUUGACGUUACCUUCAGAAGAAGCACCGGCUAACUCCGUGCCAGCAGCCGCGGUAAUACGGAGGGUGCAAGCGUUAAUCGGAAUUACUGGGCGUAAAGCGCGCGUAGGCGGCUAGAUCAGUCGGGUGUGAAAGCCCCGGGCUUAACCUGGGAACUGCAUCCGAUACUGUCUAGCUUGAGUACAGGAGAGGAGAGUGGAAUUCCACAUGUAGCGGUGAAAUGCGUAAAUAUGUGGAGGAACACCAAUGGCGAAGGCAGCUCUCUGGCCUGAUACUGACGCUGAGGCGCGAAAGCGUGGGGAGCAAACAGGAUUAGAUACCCGGGUAGUC